rnacentral:misc_RNA from 1 species
GGGWGAAGUCGUAACAAGGUAACCGUAGGGGAACCUGCGGUUGGAUCACCUCCUUUCUAAGGAAAAACGCUGUUGUCUUAGUAUCUGUUUCGCACACAACAUCACAGGCUGUGGGAGGAGUCUUCGGACUCUGAACCUAGGGGCUAGUAGCUCAGUUGGUUAGAGCACACGCUUGAUAAGCGUGGGGUCGGAGGUUCAAGUCCUCCCUGGCCCACCAUUACAAAGUUUAGGUGUGGUUACUGAAAGCUUUCGAGUUUCUGGUAGCGACAUGUAAGUGUGUUAAGGGGUUUUGAGAUCUGAGCAGGCAGAUUCGAUGGCAGCAACGUAAUGUACAUUAAGUACAUGAGGCGCCGACAGGAUGAAUCUAACGAACUUAGAACGCAAAAGAACUAACACAAUUUGGGGGUGUAGCUCANCUGGGAGAGCGCCUGCCUUGCACGCANGANGUCAUCGGUUCGAUCCCGUUCACCUCCACCAAUAUAUGUGUGAUCUGUGAAGAGUGUGAGUAUAGAUAAGAUAUUUGAACGUAGGAUGAUCGGAAGAUUGGGACUGCGUUAGAUGGAUGACAGAGUNAAGACNAAUACCAUAAACAAUCUAGUUUAACAUUAUAGUGGUAAGUUAGCUGGCCAAAGUUAGGCUUAUAAAACACAAA